UACGGAGGGUGCAAGCGUUAUCCGGAUUUACUGGGUUUAAAGGGUGUGUAGGCGGGCUUUUAAGUCAGUGGUGAAAUCUCCGAGCUCAACUUGGAAACUGCCAUUGAUACUAUUAGUCUUGAAUUUUGUUGAGGUAGGCGGAAUAAGUCAUGUAGCGGUGAAAUGCAUAGAUAUCUGGAGGAAUACCGGUGGCGAAGGCGGCAUCCUGGACCAUUACUGACGCUGAUGCGCGAAAGCUAGGGGAGCAAACGGG
rnacentral:rRNA from 1 species